rnacentral:rRNA from 1 species
GACGAACGCUGGCGGCGUGCCUAAUACAUGCAAGUUGAGCGCUGAAGGUUGGUACUUGUACCGACUGGAUGAGCAGCGAACGGGUGAGUAACGCGUGGGGAAUCUGCCUUUGAGCGGGGGACAACAUUUGGAAACGAAUGCUAAUACCGCAUAAAAACUUUAAACACAAGUUUUAAGUUUGAAAGAUGCAAUUGCAUCACUCAAAGAUGAUCCCGCGUUGUAUUAGCUAGUUGGUGAGGUAAAGGCUCACCAAGGCGAUGAUACAUAGCCGACCUGAGAGGGUGAUCGGCCACAUUGGGACUGAGACACGGCCCAAACUCCUACGGGAGGCAGCAGUAGGGAAUCGUCGGCAAUGGACGAAAGUCUGACCGAGCAACGCCGCGUGAGUGAAGAAGGUUGUCGGAUCGUAAAACUCGGUUGGUAGAGAAGAACGUUGGUGAGAGUGGAAAGCUCAUCAAGUGACGGUAACUACCCAGAAAGGGACGGCUAACUACGUG